rnacentral:tRNA from 2 species
GCCGGGAUGGGCUAGCCUGGUCUUAUGCUAGGGGACUGUGGAUCCCUUGACGCGAGUUCAAAUCUCGCUCCCGGCC